GCAGGCUUUUGAGACACACAUUAGGAGAGGACUCUGCCCGCUGUCUGUCUCACAAUCUGCUCGAAAUAUCUUGGUCAGGAAUCUCAGGAUGUCUAGUGACCCCGAGUGAGGUGCUGCCUUUUAUUCCUGAGCAUCUUUGGAAGCAGGAAGCAGGGAGCAACGGUAGCGAGAGGUAUUCGGAUCUGAGUAUCAGCAGGAAGAAGAAACAGAGGAAGAAGUCCCCCAUAAGGAAGGCGUGAGGAGCGCAGGAAGCGCUGUUUCCCUGCCUGAGAUCUUUAUUCUACUAGGUCUUUAUUCUACGUAGCCGAUACGCUGUAAAAUUCUGGAAGAGAAGGCUAGGGGUUUAAGGUUGGUAAUCUCUCAGAAGAUCUGCGUCUCGGUGACGGAAAGAACUAAGGGGCAUACAGAAUAUAUUUCCUGUCCAAUAAUGACAGAAAUACUUGAUUUUGAAGAGUAACAGUUAUAGCUUGGAAUAGAAGACUGGAGGCAGUUUGAGGGCCGACUUCAGAGUCCUGGUUGAAAUGAAGGUUGAGAAGUAUAAUGCAGUCAGUGCAGG
rnacentral:lncRNA from 1 species